AUGCACUCCUCUGUAGCUCUUCACCAUCUUUCCUCAUUAUCUAAGCCUUCCUCCAGACUGUGGAACCUCUCCUAUACCAAAUUGCCCUCCUGUCUCCAAUCCACAGGGAAGUGCCUCCUGUACUACAAUGAUGUCCUCGAGUCCCUGUACCUGUGCCCAAAUGGUGCCCACUGUUCCACCUGGUUUCAAGAUCCUGCCUGCUUCACUGGCACCAUGGACACCUCCGUGAAGAUUGUGACACACGAGGGCACCAGGACCCUCUGGAGAAGCCUCCCCAUCACCCUGGUGAUGACUGUGCCAGUUACCACCAUCUGCUUCACUGCUUACCACCAAAUCAAAGCCUUCCUGUGUGGUCGAGCCCUGACCUCUGACCUCUAUGCACCCACAGGUGGCUGGCAUGUUGGCCUGCCUGGGACAGCCCCCUGGAGCUCAUGAGGACAAAGCUGCAGGCUCAGCACGUGUCGUACCAGGAGCUGGUUGACUGUGUUAGAACGGCAGUGGCUCAGGGUAGCUUGUGCUCUCUGUGGCUGGGCUGGGGCCCCACUGCCCUUCGAGAUGUGACCUUUUCAGCCCUGUACUGGUUCAAUCAUGAGCUGAUGAAGAGCUGGCUGAAUGGGCUCAGGCCGAAGGACCAGACUUCUGUGGGCAUGAGCUUUGUGGCUGGUGGCUUCUCAGGGACGGUGGCUGCUGUGCUGACUCUACCCUUUGACUUGGUGAAGACCCAACGCCAGGUCGCGCUGGGAGCGAUAGAGGCUCUGAGAGUGACAUCUCUUCAUGUGGACUCCAUCUGGCUGCUACUGAGGAGGAUCGGGGUGAGUCGGGCACCAGGGGAUGCUUUGCAGGCUUCCUUCCUCUGAUCAUCAAGGCUGCCCCCUCUUGUGCCAUCACAAUCAGCACCUACGAGUUCAGCUAAAGGUUUUUCCAGAGGCUCAGCAAGGACCGGCGUCUGGGCAGCUGA